AUACGGAGGGUGCAAGCGUUAAUCGGAAUUACUGGGCGUAAAGCGCACGCAGGCGGUCUGUCAAGUCGGAUGUGAAAUCCCCGGGCUCAACCUGGGAACUGCAUCCGAAACUGGCAGGCUAGAGUCUUGUAGAGGGGGGUAGAAUUCCAGGUGUAGCGGUGAAAUGCGUAGAGAUCUGGAGGAAUACCGGUGGCGAAGGCGGCCCCCUGGACAAAGACUGACGCUCAGGUGCGAAAGCGUGGGGAGCAAACAGGAUUAGAUACCCUGGUAGUCCACGCCGUAAACGAUGUCGAAUGGGAGGUUGGGCCCUUGAGGCGUGGCUUCCGGAGCUAACGCGUUAAGUAGACCGCCUGGGGAGUACGGCCGCAAGGGUAAA
rnacentral:rRNA from 1 species